UCGAGAGGCUUCCACAAUGGGGGAAACCCUGAUGGAGCGACGCCGCGUGGGUGAUGAAGGUCUUCGGAUCGUAAAGCCCUUUCAGCAGAGAAGAAGUGAUUGAAUGCUAAUACCAUUUAGUCAAAGACGGUAUCUGCAGAAGAAGCUCCGGCUAACUCCGUGCCAGCAGCCGCGGUAAUACGGGGGGAGCAAGCGUUGUUCGGAUUUACUGGGCGUAAAGGGCGUCUAGGCGGAGUAAUAAGUCAGAUGUGAAAUCCCUCGGCUCAACCGGGGUGUUGCAUUUGAUACUAUUACCCUUGAGUACGAGAGAGGAAAGCGGAAUUCCAGGUGUAGCGGUGAAAUGCGUAGAUAUCUGGAAGAACACCAGUGGCGAAGGCGGCUUUCUGGCUCGUUACUGACGCUGAAGCGCGAAAGUGUGGGGAGCAAACA
rnacentral:rRNA from 1 species